GACGAACGCUGGCGGCGUGCUUAACACAUGCAAGUCGAACGGAAAGGCCCUGCGUUUGUGGGGUGCUCGAGUGGCGAACGGGUGAGUAACACGUGAGUAACCUGCCCUUGACUGUGGGAUAACUUCAGGAAACUGGGGCUAAUACCGGAUAGGAGCUCCUGCUGCAUGGUGUGGGUUGGAAAGUUUCGGCGGUUGGGGAUGGACUCGCGGCUUAUCAGCUUGUUGGUGGGGUAGUGGCUUACCAAGGCUUUGACGGGUAGCCGGCAUGAGAGGGUGACCGGCCACCAUGGGACUGAGAGACGGCCCAGAAUCCUACGGGAGGCAGCAGUGGGGAAUAUUGCACAAUGGGCGGAAGCCUGAUGCAGCAACGCCGCGUGCGGGAUGCCGGCUUUCGGGUUGUAAACCGAUUUCGAAUGUGACGAAGCGUGAGUGACGGUAAUGGGUAAAGAAGCACCGGCUAACUACGUG
rnacentral:rRNA from 1 species